rnacentral:tRNA from 1 species
GCCGGGAUGGCGGAACGGCAGACGCAGGGGAUUUAAAAUCCCACGCCUCGGAAGAGGCAUGAGGGUUCGAGUCCCUCUCCCGGCA